AAUUGACGGGGCCCGCACAAGCGGCGGAGCAUGCGGAUUAAUUCGAUGCAACGCGAAGAACCUUACCAAGGCUUGACAUACACCGGUAACGCCCAGAGAUGGGUGCCCCUUUGUGGUCGGUGUACAGGUGGUGCAUGGUUGUCGUCAGCUCGUGUCGUGAGAUGUUGGGUUAAGUCCCGCAACGAGCGCAACCCUCGUCCUAUGUUGCCAGCGGGCCAUGCCGGGGACUCAUGGGAGACUGCCGGGGUCAACUCGGAGGAAGGUGGGAUGACGUCAAAUCAUCAUGCCCCUUAUGUCUUGGGCUUCACGCAUGCUACAAUGGCCGGUACAAAGGGCUGCGAUACCGCGAGGUGGAGCGAAUCCCAGAAAGCCGGUCUCAGUUCGGAUUGGGGUCUGCAACUCGACCCCAUGAAGUCGGAGUCGCUAGUAAUCGCAGAUCAGCAACGCUGCGGUGAAUACGUUCCCGGGCCUU
rnacentral:rRNA from 1 species